GUAGGGUGCAAGCGUUAAUCGGAAUUACUGGGCGUAAAGCGUGCGCAGGCGGUUUUGUAAGUCUGACGUGAAAUCCCCGGGGCUCAACCUGGGAAUUGCGUUGGAGACUGCAAGGCUGGAGUCUGGCAGAGGGGGGUAGAAUUCCACGUGUAGCAGUGAAAUGCGUAGAGAUGUGGAGGAACACCGAUGGCGAAGGCAGCCCCCUGGGUCAAGACUGACGCUCAUGCACGAAAGCGUGGGGAGCAAACAGGAUUAGAUACCCUGGUAGUCCACGCCCUAAACGAUGUCUACUAGUUGUCGGGUCUUAAUUGACUUGGUAACGCAGCUAACGCGUGAAGUAGACCGCCUGGGGAGUACGGUCGCAAGAUUA
rnacentral:rRNA from 1 species